CAGGCAAAAUAACUUAUUCCCUUGAGAGAACAUCCAUGUCAUACAUAAUCUAUUUUACCAUUGUGUCUUUAUUGAUCUUUCAUUAUGUACGUGGAAAGCACAUAUUUUAUUGUUUAAACUAUUGUCAAAGUAGGAUGUUCUUUAUAUUCAUAAUAGAUACUGAGAAUGAAGACUUCCUCCUUAGUUGGCUACUGUACUGGGGCCUCAUUUUCCUCCCAAAUGAAUCAGUAUAUCCAGGCUCAGUACAGAGGUUCUCCCCAAGGACUGGAAGCAAAAAGAAUUAUCUGCCACACCCUCUCUUCCUCACCCAACCUAUGGAGCAACUGCCAGGCUACUCUGCUGCAACUAUUCGCUCCUACAUGCGGUUUGCCGGUUGCCACCUUGGAGAAAUGGCCAUAUACUCAUCUUUGUGUAUCCAGAAUCAUGCUCCCUUACUCUUUGAAGAGAGCCUCAUUAGUUCUGCUGCAUCCAGAGUUCUUCAUGUCCAUUGAAGGAUUUGCACUUUAGCGUUUUAUUUCUGCACCUGGUUCACGGUUGAUCAUCUGGGUUAAAUUCUGAAAUUGGCAUGUGGGGAUUAAUCUUUCACAUCUUUCAUUACAUUUAAAAUCCCACACCCCCACUCCAUGCUCUGCUUUGAACUUUUCAGGCUGGAUAUUUUUGUGCGUUAUAGUGGUGCACAUAGAAUUUCAUUUAACCACAGAGUUCAGAUACAAGGGCUCAUUGUUUGUUAUCCCGAAGAAGGAGGAAGACACUAAUCUUUGUGACAGAAAGCUGGAGUAGAGGAAUGUGUAGUUCUAAAACAUCCCUUAAGAAUAUAGAGUCAAAAAGAUCCAUUUUAAGGUGGCACCUCUAAAAAAGUUUCCCUUUGUUACUCUUUCUCAUUGCUGCUUAUAAACUAGUGUUGAUACCAUGUGUUAGACACUUAGAUUGCAGUGUUAAAAGCCUAAAGUUGUUAUUCAAUUCAGACAUUGGCAUCAAUUUGAUCAGUACUUUAACUGGACAUUCAAAUUAUUAUCCUUCUUACCACAGUCAUUGCUCGAGAAAUUAGAGAUGAACUGUAAGCAAGCAUUUGCAUAAUAUUUUCAGCCUAAAAACUCUAGUUCUUGCCAUUCUGAUUUUUAUCAAUCCUGAGAUUUUUCCCUUCAGCUGAAUAUGUAAAGGGUUUUAGUUCUCAGAAAUUCUGAGUUUCAGUACCUAGCGCUAUUAAUUCUGGGCCAGAUCCUCAGCUAGUAGCUUCAUUGACAUCAGUGGCACUACCCCAAUUUACACCAGCUUAGUAUCUGGGCCCUUUGAUCUUGCAUUUACAUUGUGCACUUUACCUUGUAUGAGUUAUAACAGCUUUAUAAGCUAUUUCUCUGUCAUGCAUAUUUAUGUAAUAUUUUCAGUGCUGUACUUGGUCAUAUCACUUCCUUUUUUGCCUUUCAAAUUAACAUUACUAUGUACCCCCCCCCAAACAUAACACAACCCCCACCCCCCAUCACUGAACUGAUUUAGGUCUCAAUCCUGUGCCCACUGAAGUAAAUAUAAAAACUCCUAAGGAAUUUCAUGGUUUAGGAUUAGGCUUUUAACACAUCUAUGCCCCUGCCCAGCCACUUGACACUGAACGAGGAGGCAGAGUGGACCUACAUUACCGGGCGAUGGAUUAGCCUUCAAAUAUAGGUGAUAAUUUAUAGGUAGGAUUGGAAGAAUUAGAUUUUUGUUGGUAAAUGUCGGUAAACUUAGAUUUCAGUGUACAUGCACAACGGACACCAAAAAAAUUCCAUCCGUAGCAAUGAAAAUUUAGAGAUAGGUCAAGUAAGAAAAAUGUUGCUUGAGAACUUACUAGAGUUUGAUUUAAGGAUAUUUACUUUGUAUAUUUUGACAUGUGAUGUUGACAGUUUGUGUUAUAACUGUGAUAAAGCUUGAACUUUUUUGAAUCUCAAUGUCUGCUGUGAUUAAAUAAUCAUUGCUUGACCCCUCAUAAUUCCCCCUCAAAUAUCUGUAAAAAUUUAAAUAGAUAAAAAUGGGGGAAAAAAUGCUUAAAAGCAAACAUUGAGAGUAACUGUCAAAAUUGUAAAAAAAUAAAAAAUCUAAUUCUGCCA
ensembl:lncRNA